GAGUUUGAUCGUGGCUCAGAUUGAACGCUGGCGGCAGGCCUAACACAUGCAAGUCGAGCGGAUGAAGGGAGCUUGCUCCUGGAUUCAGCGGCGGACGGGUGAGUAAUGCCUAGGAAUCUGCCUGGUAGUGGGGAUAACGUCCGGAAACGGGCGCUAAUACCGCAUACGUCCUGAGGGAGAAAGUGGGGGAUCUUCGGACCUCACGCUAUCAGACGAGCCUAGGUCGGAUUAGCUAGUUGGUGGGGUAAAGGCCUACCAAGGCGACGAUCCGUAACUGGUCUGAGAGGAUGAUCAGUCACACUGGAACUGAGACACGGUCCAGACUCCUACGGGAGGCAGCAGUGGGGAAUAUUGGACAAUGGGCGAAAGCCUGAUCCAGCCAUGCCGCGUGUGUGAAGAAGGUCUUCGGAUUGUAAAGCACUUUAAGUUGGGAGGAAGGGCAGUAAGUUAUACCUUGCUGUUUUGACGUUACCAACAGAAUAAGCACCGGCUAACUUCGUGUCCAGCAGCCGCAGUAAAA
rnacentral:rRNA from 1 species